UGGGAUGUUGCCAAGUGGUAAGGCACCAGACUUUGACUCUGGCAUUCCGAUGGUUCGAGUCCAUCCAGCCCAACCA
rnacentral:tRNA from 1 species